rnacentral:rRNA from 1 species
CACCUAAGAUAACAUUAUCUU